rnacentral:snoRNA from 1 species
CUUCAAAGAGCAGGAAAGUAAAUCUCUAUAAAACCCAGAGACAAAGAUUUAUAAUCCAAAGGUUAUAAAAUUUCUCUUCGGAUCCUGUCUGGGGUUGCAGCA